UGUCGCGGCGGCUGUGCGCGGGCACGCUUCGGCGUGGUCGAGUUUCCGAUGCUCGGUAUUCCUACCCCGCGUAUAGCUGCCACCCAA
rnacentral:antisense_RNA from 1 species